AAAAGUCAAGCUUUCCAUAAAGAAACCAAGAAAAUUCCACCAAAGCAUUUAUUGGGCAGCUGGGAAAGUUGGCAUUUAUUGGGCAGCUUAGGCAAUUGGGAGCAGCUAAGAGAGGUGUGUUUCACCGGCCAAAGGGGAGCACGAAAUUGCACUCUAUAAAUUGAGAGUUACACACUCAUUCAAAGGGAGAGAGCAGACACACACAUUCAUUUCAUCCAUUACUCUCAUACACACAUUCAGAUUCACCACAAAGAGAGAAGGGAGCUUGGAGCUGUCCUGGGAACUACCUCGCUGCCACCAUCUAGUUCUUCUCCUCUCUUUAUCCUAUCUAUGUAUUUCUUAUUUUCUGUAUUCACAGUUAUGUCUAACUAAUCCAUCUAGUUAGGGCUUAGGAUGAAGCCCUAGUCAUGAAUAUUCAAUGUUAUUGAUGAUUUUAUAGUUAAUUGAUUUCCUUGCUUUCAUUAUCAAGUUGUUAACCUCCAAUUUAUUAUGUGCUUGAUGUAUGUUUUCUUGGAGUAGCUAACUAGGAUUUUAUGCAUCUAGCACAGGUUGGGAAGGGGUUUAGAUUCACCAAUUCUACUCUCCUUUCACAAGCAACACUUGAAUGGCCUAAGAAUCAUUCAAGGGGUUAACAACCAUAGGUUGACUAGGACAGAUACCAUGUUCUAGGACUUGUGUGAUUAUCAUAUUCUCAAGGAGCUUAAUGACUCUUGUAUGCUUUAUUCUAAGUAGAUAUCAUGCUUAGGUUGCAUAUUAGAGAUCACGUGCUGUGUAGAUACCAUGCACAAUCACAUGCCUUAGGAGAAUGAUGCAUCCUGCACCUAGAUAGCAUAGGCUUGUAUGCGAUAAUCUAUUGUUGAUGAAGCUUGAGUCAAUUUCUAUGCAUUCAUAACUUGGAUAGGAAGACUAGUGGCAGAUUCCAAGGCUCUAACACCUCUCAAUCAUUGUUUCACAACUUGUUCAUUGCUGCUAGUGUUUACUUUCAAGCACUUUCAUUUCACUUUCUUGUUUUCAUUUCAACAACAAAACCCCUCAUUUCGAGUGCGUGUGUGGUGCUAGGAUUCUGUCAGACCUUGAGUAAUUAGCAAGAGGCAUUGUUGAAUUCGACCUUGCCUUUAGCUAGUUAGUCAGUUUCUUUGUUCUAUGUUUGUCUAGCAUUCUAAGUAAUUUAACUUGGAACCAAGUUACCAUUCUCCGUGGGAUCGACCUCGUAUUUACAUAAGCUAUACUAUAAACGGUUCGUGCACUUGCGAGAAUUAAAGUUGCUGUUUUUAAUAACUCAUUUUAGUUGUUAAGAAUAGGCUCAACAAUAUACACGUAUUUUUCAACAAUAUAUUCGUGUUAUAUACACGUCUCACAUUUUCUUUAAAAAGCAAACAUACAAUAGUCGUAUUUCUAAUAUUUUAUGCAUCAGUCCCCUUCUAUUGAGGGAUCCCUCAAAUAAAAUUAUUUGAGGGACGUCCUUUAGGGUACCCUACAAUUUUUUUCCCAAUGAUCCAAACCAUCUAUUUUUUAGGUCUUCAUUCAUAGAUCAUCCUAACAAAAAAUUAGAUAAAUCGGAAACCGUUUCGACAUCCAAUUGUGUCUUACAAAAUCAAUGAACACGGUACUUCAAGAAAAUGCUAAAAUUUCAAUAACUUAAUUGAGUGGUCAAAUGAUAUCGGAUUCAAGUGAUUUUUUGUAGGGAUGAUCUUUGAAUGAGUAUUUACAAAAUAGACGGUUUGGAUUAGUGAAAUACAAUCCGGAGUGGGGCCUACAAGGGGUGUCCCUCAAAUAAGCUUAUUUGAGGGAUCCCUCAAUGGAAGCUCUCUGUUUUAUGCAUAUUUUUUACAAAAUUUUCAACAACACACAAAAAUUCAAAUUAGUUAAUUAUUUAAAUUAAAAUUUUCACGUACUUUUUACAAAAUUUUAAGUAACACACACAAAUUCACAUAUUAUACAAAUAAUUCUCAUAUAUUAUUGAAUAAGAAUAACAUGUGGUAUAAAAAUUAUAUUAAAACAUAAAAUAGAGGAAGAUUAAUAUCUACUUUGGUACUUCUUUAUUAUUAUUAUUAUUAUUAUUAUUAUUUUAAACGAGUACAGCCGUACGGCUAUACUCGAUGUUUUAAAUUUUUUGAAAAAGCCAUGGGCUAACACGUGGCGCCACAUGGCUGGAGUCUUUUUUUAUAAUUAAAAAUAGUAUAGCCGCACAAUUCUAGAGAAAUGCAUUCUCCACUUAUGGAUAAAUGAAAUGAUUUCAAUGUGAAUCCUCAAAUGCAACCAGGGAAUCAGUUUCCUUUCCUAUGAAGUUGAACUAUAAACAAUCUGAAUACUACAUUGAUCCGUUUUGGCUUGGCUACUUGUGAUAAGUUACUUCUGUUAGUGUAAAAUAUUAGAAGAUGAUAACAGAAUCCCUUGGCCUGGAGUCCCUUUCAAAUAAUGUAAUAAUCGAUCUGCAGCAUCUUUAUGAGUUGUACGGGGGCUUUGCAUGAAUUGGCUCAAAAUAUGAACUGUAUGAACAAUGUCUGGCCUAGUGAUGGUGAGAUAUAUCAAGCGACCCACCAAUCUUCUAUAAGUUUCUGGAUUAUGUAAUAGUUCCCCAUCUUCAUUGUUUAACUUGAGAUUUUGUUCCAUGGGGAAGAAAGUAGGACGUGAACCAAUAAGACCUGAGUCUUUCAAAAUGUCAAGUGCAUACUUCCGUUGGCUCAAAUACAAUCCCUUUGAAGAACGAGACACUUCUAUCCCAAGGAAGUAUUUUAAAUCACCAAGGUCUUUUAAAUGAAAACGUUGGUGCAACAAAUUCUUGACAAUUGAUAUAGUAGCAACAUCGGUACCUGUAAUAAUAAUAUCGUCAACAUAUACAAGCAAGAAAAUUGAUGACUUACCUUUGUGACGAUAGAAAAGGGAGUAAUCUGCUUUAGAUUGAGAAAAUCCCGCAUCAAGUAAUGUUUUGGAGAAUUUUGCAAACCAACACCCAGAAGCUUGCUUUAAUCCAUAAAGUGAUUUGUUAAGACGGCACACCAUGUUUCCCCCCUUGCCGUGAUAACCUUGAGGGAGCUGCAUGUAAACCCUCUUCAUGUAAAUCAUCAUGAAGAAAGGCAUUGUUGACGUCUAAUUGUUGAAGACACCAACCCUUGGCAGUGGCCAAAGAUAAUAAAACACGAACAGUGGUAAGUUUGGCAACAGGAGAAAAAGUUUCAUGAUAAUCAAUCCCUUCCAUUUGCGUAUAUCCCUUGGCGACGAGGCGAGCUUUGCAUCGUUCAAUAGUGCCAUUAGAAUGCCGUUUUAUUUUAUAGACCCACUUGCAGCCGAUGGCUUUUUUAUGAGCAGGCAAGGCCAUGAGGGUCCAUGUAUGAUUAGCUUCCAAGGCAGCAAGUUCACUUUGCAUAGCUUUACGCCAUUCAGGAUAUUUAGUAGAUUCAUCAAAAGUGUUAGGCUCAACAAUGGUAGUAAUAGAAGCAAGAAAACUUUGAUGUUUAAUGGAGAAUUUGUCAUAAGAUAAAUAAUGGGAUAAAGGGUACCUGGUGCCAUGUGGACCUGAAGUCGAAGAGGUUGCUUGAGAUUGGUAGCAGUGAUAAUCAUUAAGGUAACCUGGUGGUUUGCGACUACGAGGAGGAGGAGAUGAGGGAGGUGCUAUAAUGGCAGAGGAAGUAUUAGAAUUUGUGAUGGCUGGUGUAGGUGUUUCGGUAGGAGAUGGAGGCAAAAGAGAUGGGAGAGAAGAAAGUAUGUUGGUUGGUGGAAAAGAAAGUAUGUUGGUUGGUGGAGAAGAAGGUGUGUUGGUGGGUGGAGUAGAGGGAGACGUGUUAGUGUCUGGAGUGGCUUGUGUUUCUGGGUUAGAUAAAUCUGGUGAGGUAAGUGGAUGAGCGAAAGCUAAAGGAAGGUGGGAAUGUUCAAAAUCUGUUGCAGGAAUGGGUAAAACACCAGGUAAAGUGUGGUUAUUUUGUGAUAAAUUAUAAGGAAAAAUAGUUUUGUAAAAAGUGACAUCUCUAGAAGUGUAAAUUUUCUUUGUUUCAAGAUCAUAUAUUUUAUAAGCCUUUUGAAAAGGUGGAUAACCAAUAAAGAUACAUGGUUUUGCUCUUUUAUCAAAUUUAUGAGAAUGGGGAGACAAGUUAUGACCAUAACAAAGACAACCAAAAAUUCGUAGGUGGGUAUAAGAAGGUGCUUUGUUGAAAAGAAUUUCAUAAGGUGUUUUCCCAUGUAAGAUUUUGGUGGGUAAACGAUUAAUUAGAUAAGCAGCAGUAAGAACACAAUCACCCCAAAAAGAAACAGGUAAAUUUGAUUGAAAACGAAGGGAACGAGCAAUAUUUAAAAGAUGACGAUGUUUUCUUUCGACGACACCAUUUUGUUGUGGUGUUGCCACACAACUAUGUUGAUGAAUGACACCAAGUGAAGAAAAAUAUUGGUUCAAUUUGUGAUUAAAAAAUUCAGUUCCAUUGUCAGUACGAACUUGACGAAUAGAACAAUUAAAUUGUGUUUUGACCAUAGCAAAAAAAUAUGGUAAGUAGGUAUUAACUUCUGAUUUAUGCUGCAUUAAAUAAAGCCAAGUACUACGAGAAAAAUCAUCAACUAUGGUUAAAAAAUAUUUAGCACCAGAAAUUGAAGAAACAGAAUAAGGUCCCCAAACAUCACAAUGUAUUAAAUCGAAGCAAGCAUUUGUUGAUAUAGUGCUUAAAGGAAAAGAAAGCCGACAAUGUUUAGCCAAAGGGCAAAUAGUGCAAGCAUGAUUAUUAUCAAAAGAAAUUUUUGAAUUCAAACUUUGUAAAUAAGGAAGAGUACACUUGGAUGGAUGUCCUAAGCGCCAGUACACUUUGUAAAUGCUGCCUUGGGUUCACCCUCUCCCGCAUAAAUUCAAGAGCAAAUUCCUCACCGGUCUGAAUGGAGUAAUUCGACACAGGCCUGGCUCCAACAGCAACAUUGUAAUCUGGAGGUCGCAUGUUAGUGUUAAUAUUACUUGAUGGAUCCGGGAAAAACCUUUGAUUGGCAGACCCAUGUCCCUCAUUUCUAGUUUCAACAGUACUGUAUCGAACUUGCUCGUAGUUUUUCUGUUGAUCCAUUGUACCUUUACCCAAAUUUCUAUCCAUAUGGUCUAACUUCACCUGGAUAAACAGCCACGCCACAAAGCAGUAAAUAUGACACAUGAGCAUUCUCCCAUGGGUAGCCAACUGCAAUCUUUGCUAUCAGAAUACAUUCUUCCAAUGAAGCAGUCCUUAAUUAGGAACCUAAGGGAGUAAAUGAGGUAUCACUAGAUCAGUCAACCAGAAGGAUAAUCUCUAAGCAUGAGCAAUGUAUAAGAAAACAACCUUCUCCAACAAGACAGAAGCCAAAAGACUUGAAGCACCUUGAACAAAUUAUUCAAUUUGAGUUCAAAACUCAUCAAUGAUUUGAGAAACAAACCAGUGAAUCCAUAUAUAGAUAAUCAAGUCUAAAGAACAAACUACAGACUCAAACAUUUUAACCUAACAACCUCUCAUAAUUAUCUAAUUUCAGAAAUGCACUGAUAUUCACAUAUAUACUUGAAGCACCUUGAUAAACUUUGAAACAGGCUUCUCUAAACAAUGAAAAUGUUGUAAAAAAGAGUCACUUUAGAGGAGAUUUCAACUUUUUCGAGAUGAUUUAAAGCAAUACAGAUACAAGCUUUGAAAUAUCAUGUCCUUUUUCCUUCUUUAUUUUCAGUGACCAAACAGACGAUAAAUCAACCCAAUUGGAAUCCAAAAGAUAUUCCACAAUUCACAUUGUUUGGAUCAACUUACGACUGCAUCAACAACUAUAAAUAUGACUUCCAUUGUACCCAUUUGUAUCCAUAUCAUCUUUUUCAUUCAUUUUCUCAGCAUGCAAACCGUUUCAACAAGUAUACAGCUCGGUUUCCCCAUAAUAAUAUUGAAGAAUAAUAAUAACUGCUAGUAACACUGUCUCAAUAAAAUUGGAGAAUUUCAUGAAUUUACUUGUGAAAUUGACUCAAUCAGAAAAUCGGUAGACUAGAAAGACUAAGAAGACUUGAGCUAGAUUUUGAGUCACCGACAUGCAACUCAGAUUCAAGAUCCAAAACCCACAGAAUCAAACCCCAAAAAAAAAAAGAAAAAAAGAAAAAGAAAAAAAGAAACCCCUUUCGAGUUGACAUAAACAUAAAAACAAAAAAAACCCAAAAUUCACAGCAAUCAGGCAAGAUUUUCAGCAUAUGAACUCCGACCCAUUCAAAUUCACACAUAAUCAGCUCAAAAUUGAACAUCAAAAUCCCAAAAUAACAAAAAAGACCAUAGCUUGUAAGAGAUCCAGCUGAAAUUAGUACAAUUAUACAAUAAUGGGUGAAACGAACACAAAACUGAUCGCAAAAAACAAUAAUGAAGAAGAUUAACUUAAUAAUUACCUUCGAAGACAAUAACAUAGAUCAGUGAAGAACACAAACACUGACUGUGAAUACCCCCACCCUCUGUCUCUCUGUUUAUGCGUCUUAUAGUUGAAACUUUCUGUGAGCUCAAAGACUCUUUUUUUUUUUUCACAUUUCUUUUCUUUGUUUUUUAAAGAAGAUUUUGGAGAUUUACGGCUUUCUCAGAACGGUAACGAAUUUUUUUUAUUUUCCACAGCUAAAAAAGAUAAAAUUGAUCUUGUUAAUUUUCUAUUUUUGUUUAUGGAGAGCCCACUCGCUGUAGGAGCUCGUGCACAACACUGUCCACUUGGAGGGGGAUAUUCCUUGGCAGGCUUUGGAUGUGCUGUAACAGUACUUGGUUACUGUGUGAAGAACUUAGAAUGAAUAUGUGUACAUACGACCCAAAAUCUAGUUGGAUUUUCUAAUAGAAUUGGGUGUGCUUUUUCUACUAGAUGCACCUGCUGAAGUGUUAUACGCACCUCAUUUUACCCUAAUUGGAAAUUUUGUACAACUUAUAUGGUAAUCUUGUAAAUUUAACACUCACCAAGUUUGUGGGAGUUUUAGCUCUUUGGGGUAAGAAUAUCUCUCUAUCAAAAAGAAGUUGAUAAUCUAACUAAAAGCUUGCAUGCCAAUUAUUGAAUCAUAUAUAUCAACGAUUGAGAUGCACUUUAGUCACUCUCACACGCAUCUCAGCCGUCAAUAAGAGAUUUUUUCUUUUCUUUGUUGAGACUAUCUAUAUUGUGAUAAUGUAAAAGAAAUAGAAUAGCACUGGGUUUUUUCAAAUUUUUUUCAAAAGAAAUCGUAUAGCCGAGCGGUUAUACUUGGUUUUUUCUAAUUUUUUUUAAAAGAAAGCUAUACUGAGUUUUUUUUAGUUUUAUUUUUUUAAAAUAGUAUAGCCGGGCGGCUAUACUCGAUUUUUUAAUUUUAUUUUUUUAAAAUAGUAUAGCCGGGCGGCUAUACUCGAUUUUUUAAUUUUUUUAUAGAGAAAUCGUAUAGCCGCGCGGCUAUACUCGGUGUUUUCUGAUUUUUUUUAACAAAAAGCUAUAUACUGGUUUUGUACAUGUCUUAAAAACUCGAUAAAAUUCGCAUUUUUUUUAAAAGCAAAUAUACAAUACUCAUAUUGAACAUAUACGUACAUAUUUUUCAUGUUUAGUACAUGUAUUAUCACAUAAUUAUCAUAUAUUAUUGAAUACAAAUAAUAUAUAUUUAAAAAAUUAAAUAUAUAAUAUUAAAAUAUUAUAUAGUGGCUGUCGAUUAGGGUACCGCACCUUGAGCGACAGUAGACGUGAAACCUCAUGAAGGCCUCCCCACUUUUCUAAUGCACGUGCAAUGUCGUAGCGCCCUGUAAAAUGUUGAAAACAGAAUUGGUUUUAUAGGAAGAUACAAAGAAUAGUAUUUACUUAGUAAGGUGAAACAACCUAGGUUCCUAAACAAAUUGUAGCAGAAACAAAAAGACAAGGAAAAACUAGGUCUGGCUAGCUGCGGACUGUUAUGUCCCUCUCAAACAUGCAAUGGCUAUGCCACAGUAAACCAUCUAACCAAAUAUGAGAUCAUAAUCUCCUUCUAUCAAGUCCUAGGCCUUGCCUCAAGGGUAAAGUGACUUGGUGGUUUGAGGUAAGUCCUAGGUUCAAAUCUUGUCCAGUUACAUGAAAUUUUAAAAAAAAUAAGAAUAAGGAAAUCAAACAAAAGGAGUAACAAAUCAGUAGAAUAUACAAUACAACAAUCUUCAUGUUGUUGGUCAUUUCUUACCUGCACGCUCAAAUGACUUUCUACUGGGCAUGAAUGAAGGGUCCAUUCCCCAGCUCCUCUGAAAUCGAUUAAUCUGUAUGUAAAUUGGAAUUCUGUUAAACCAGGGAGUUUGAGCUCUUUUCCUUUUUUCUAUAGCAAGAGAUUUAGCACACGUUAUGAUUACAGCCUACCUCUUCCUGUAGCCCUUUGGUUUUCGAUGUUUAUAAGCAAGAGAGAGGCUCAUCAAUGUUGCAAUCCUCCGGAAUCCACCCAUGUGUGUGAUUGCUUUCUCGAUAUCUACCCUCCCAUGUAAACGAAGUUGCUUUCUCAUGGGCAUAAAUCCUUCCUGCCCAUGCUCUGAAAUAAAUUUCAGGAGCUCACUUUUCAACACUUCAAUAUCCCUCUGCAAGCCUGGUACUCCCUAUAUAUACUUUCAUCGCAUGCUUUCAUUGAGUGUGCCGCCUCCCUCUGUGCUAGAAAGAGAUGGUUAAUGAUUGCACAAAUAACACAAACCUCUUCCGUGAUGGCUUCAGAAAGAAAAGUAUCCUUGCGCAUUUUCGAUUCCACAGAACACUUUAACCGUGUGUGAUGACUUACAUUACAGGAAAAGUAAGUUAACUUGUGUAUGAGUUUUAAGAUGAUUGGCACUCUCACAUCACUUAAGUUAAGAGUAUUACAAUGACAUAUCUUUAGCACCAUUUUUUAAGGAUCGGAGAGUGCCUAUUUAUACAGCUAGAGCUAUAGAUUGUCCUCUUUAUUAACUAAUAAGAUUUAGAGAUGAGACACAUUAUCUGAUCCCAAAAGACUGCUAGUACCUCGAAAGUAUGCGUAUAGUAGUAAGAGAGGUAGUAGUAUUCUUCAUGUAAAGUGUUGUUUCAAAAGUGAAGCAAUUACCAUAAUAGUUUUGUUGGUUUUCCAAGGUAUUGCAAACAUGUUCGAGCUCCCACAUUGGAACACUACAGUUCCUUGGAGGUCUUUUUAAGACUUACUCUUGGAAAUAGAAUAGUUUAUAUUGGCUAUGCAAGCGGCCCAAUUGAGUGGCUUGUGGGUAUGACGUUCGGUUAAAUGCCUAAUUAAUUGAGUUAACGGUUAAUAAACAUAUUUAAUUAAUCAAUAAAUAAAUAAUAAUUAAAAUAUAAUUGCUAAUUCAACUACUUAAAUCUCCAAAUAUAUUAUGUAGUUACUAAAAAUAGAAUUUUUAAAAAUUAAUUAACCUAAACAUCCUAAGUUUAUACUUAUUUUUAAAAAUGAAGACCUCUCCCGACGUAAUUUCGUCGGCAAAGAUAUUUUCGUCGGGGGAAACCUAAUCCGGCAAAUUUUGUCGGCAUAGAACUUUGCCGACGAAAUUUCGUCGGGAGAAGUGUUCAUGUGUUUUUUUUUUUUUUUUGAAAAGUAUAAAUUUUAAAAAUAUGGAUAUGUUUGAACUAGCAAAUUAAUACCUAUAAAGUACAAGCUAAUGCAACUUGGAGGGUCCUUCUUUCUUUUAUUUAUUUAUUAAAUACUAUAUUUACAUAGUAUAGCCGUGCGGCUGUACUAUAUUUUUCUUUUUGAAAAAUAGUCUAGCCGGGCGGCUAUACUUUUUUGGGACACGUGGCGCCUAAUCGCUGGAGGCUCCUUUUUUUUUUAAGACCAAAAAAUAGUACAGCCGCACGGCCAUACCCGGUGUUUUUUAAAAAGUCGACACGUGGCGCCUUUUUAUAUUAAAAAUAGUAUAGCCGCACGGCUAUACUCAGUUUUUGUUUGUUUUUUUUAAAUUUUUUUUAAAAUUUUUUAAAUUUUUUUUAUUUUAUGAAAAGGUAGGCUACACCCUUUAAGUAGCAUGGUAUGUAUUUCACUUUUUUAAUUACUUUGAUUAGUAAAGGAGAAAAAGAAGAAGAGAAAUUGAAUUACUAUUCAUUAAGUAAUAUAAUUCAUGAAGUUAAUUAAAAUAUUUAAUCAUAAUCAGUCAAUAAAUAAAUAAUAAUUAAAAUAUAAUUGCUAAUUCAACUACUUAAAUCUCCAAAUAUAUUAUGUAGUUACUAAAAAUAGAAUUUUUAAAAAUUAAUUAACCUAAACAUCCUAAGUUUAUACUUAUUUUUAAAAAUGAAGACCUCUCCCGACGAAAUUUCGUCGGCAAAGAUAUUUUCGUCGGGGGAAACCUAAUCCGGCAAAUUUUGUCGGCAUAGAACUUUGCCGACGAAAUUUCGUCGGGAGAAGUGUUCAUGUGUUUUUUUUUUUUUUUUGAAAAGUAUAAAUUUUAAAAAUAUGGAUAUGUUUGAACUAGCAAAUUAAUACCUAUAAAGUACAAGCUAAUGCAACUUGGAGGGUCCUUCUUUCUUUUAUUUAUUUAUUAAAUACUAUAUUUACAUAGUAUAGCCGUGCGGCUGUACUAUAUUUUUCUUUUUGAAAAAUAGUCUAGCCGGGCGGCUAUACUUUUUUGGGACACGAGGCGCCUAAUCGCUGGAGGCUCCUUUUUUUUUUAAGACCAAAAAAUAGUACAGCCGCACGGCCAUACCCGGUGUUUUUAAAAAGUCGACACGUGGCGCCUUUUUAUAUUAAAAACAGUAUAGCCGCACGGCUAUACUCAGUUUUUGUUUGUUUUUUUUAAAUUUUUUUUAAAAUUUUUUAAAAUUUUUUUAUUUUAUGAAAAGGUGGGCUACACCCUUUAAGUAGCAUGGUAUGUAUUUCACUUUUUUAAUUACUUUGAUUAGUAAAGGAGAAAAAGAAGAAGAGAAAUUGAAUUACUAUUCAUUAAGUAAUAUAAUUCAUGAAGUUAAUUAAAAUAUUUAAUCAUAAUCAGUCAAUAAAUAAAUAAUAAUUAAAAUAUAAUUGCUAAUUCAACUACUUAAAUCUCCAAAUAUAUUAUGUAGUUACUAAAAAUAGAAUUUUUAAAAAUUAAUUAACCUAAACAUCCUAAGUUUAUACUUAUUUUUAAAAAUGAAGACCUCUCCCGACGAAAUUGCGUCGGCAAAGAUAUUUUCGUCGGGGGAAACCUAAUCCGGCAAAUUUUGUCGGCAUAGAACUUUGCCGACGAAAUUUCGUCGGGAGAAGUGUUCAUGUGUUUUUUUUUUUUUUUGAAAAGUAUAAAUUUUAAAAAUAUGGAUAUGUUUGAACUAGCAAAUUAAUACCUAUAAAGUACAAGCUAAUGCAACUUGGAGGGUCCUUCUUUCUUUUAUUUAUUUAUUAAAUACUAUAUUUACAUAGUAUAGCCGUGCGGCUGUACUAUAUUUUUCUUUUUGAAAAAUAGUCUAGCCGGGCGGCUAUACUUUUUUGGGACACGUGGCGCCUAAUCGCUGGAGGCUCCUUUUUUUUUUAAGACCAAAAAAUAGUACAGCCGCACGGCCAUACCCGGUGUUUUUAAAAAGUCGACACGUGGCGCCUUUUUAUAUUAAAAAUAGUAUAGCCGCACGGCUAUACUCAGUUUUUGUUUGUUUUUUUUAAAUUUUUUUUAAAAUUUUUUAAAAUUUUUUUAUUUUAUGAAAAGGUAGGCUACACCCUUUAAGUAGCAUGGUAUGUAUUUCACUUUUUUAAUUACUUUGAUUAGUAAAGGAGAAAAAGAAGAAGAGAAAUUGAAUUACUAUUCAUUAAGUAAUAUAAUUCAUGAAGUUAAUUAAAAUAUUUAAUCAUAAUCAGUCAAUAAAUAAAUAAUAAUUAAAAUAUAAUUGCUAAUUCAACUACUUAAAUCUCCAAAUAUAUUAUGUAGUUACUAAAAAUAGAAUUUUUAAAAAUUAAUUAACCUAAACAUCCUAAGUUUAUACUUAUUUUUAAAAAUGAAGACCUCUCCCGACGAAAUUUCGUCGGCAAAGAUAUUUUCGUCGGGGGAAACCUAAUCCGGCAAAUUUUGUCGGCAUAGAACUUUGCCGACGAAAUUUCGUCGGGAGAAGUGUUCAUGUGUUUUUUUUUUUUUUGAAAAGUAUAAAUUUUAAAAAUAUGGAUAUGUUUGAACUAGCAAAUUAAUACCUAUAAAGUACAAGCUAAUGCAACUUGGAGGGUCCUUCUUUCUUUUAUUUAUUUAUUAAAUACUAUAUUUACAUAGUAUAGCCGUGCGGCUGUACUAUAUUUUUCUUUUUGAAAAAUCGUCUAGCCGGGCGGCUAUACUUUUUUGGGACACGUGGCGCCUAAUCGCUGGAGGCUCCUUUUUUUUUUAAGACCAAAAAAUAGUACAGCCGCACGGCCAUACCCGGUGUUUUUAAAAAGUCGACACGUGGCGCCUUUUUAUAUUAAAAAUAGUAUAGCCGCACGGCUAUACUCAGUUUUUGUUUGUUUUUUUUAAAUUUUUUUUAAAAUUUUUUAAAUUUUUUUUAUUUUAUGAAAAGGUAGGCUACACCCUUUAAGUAGCAUGGUAUGUAUUUCACUUUUUUAAUUACUUUGAUUAGUAAAGGAGAAAAAGAAGAAGAGAAAUUGAAUUACUAUUCAUUAAGUAAUAUAAUUCAUGAAGUUAAUUAAAAUAUUUAAUCAUAAUCAGUCAAUAAAUAAAUAAUAAUUAAAAUAUAAUUGCUAAUUCAACUACUUAAAUCUCCAAAUAUAUUAUGUAGUUACUAAAAAUAGAAUUUUUAAAAAUUAAUUAACCUAAACAUCCUAAGUUUAUACUUAUUUUUAAAAAUGAAGACCUCUCCCGACGAAAUUUCGUCGGCAAAGAUAUUUUCGUCGGGGGAAACCUAAUCCGGAAAAUUUUGUCGGCAUAGAACUUUGCCGACGAAAUUUCGUCGGGAGAAGUGUUCAUGUGUUUUUUUUUUUUUUUGAAAAGUAUAAAUUUUAAAAAUAUGGAUAUGUUUGAACUAGCAAAUUAAUACCUAUAAAGUACAAGCUAAUGCAACUUGGAGGGUCCAUCUUUCUUUUAUUUAUUUAUUAAAUACUAUAGUUACAUAGUAUAGCCGUGCGGCUGUACUAUAUUUUUCUUUUUGAAAAAUAGUCUAGCCGGGCGGCUAUACUUUUUUGGGACACGUGGCGCCUAAUCGCUGGAGGCUCCUUUUUUUUUUAAGACCAAAAAAUAGUACAGCCGCACGGCCAUACCCGGUGUUUUUAAAAAGUCGACACGUGGCGCCUUUUUAUAUUAAAAAUAGUAUAGCCGCACGGCUAUACUCAGUUUUUGUUUGUUUUUUUUAAAUUUUUUUUAAAAUUUUUUAAAUUUUUUUUAUUUUAUGAAAAGGUAGGCUACACCCUUUAAGUAGCAUGGUAUGUAUUUCACUUUUUUAAUUACUUUGAUUAGUAAAGGAGAAAAAGAAGAAGAGAAAUUGAAUUACUAUUCAUUAAGUAAUAUAAUUCAUGAAGUUAAUUAAAAUAUUUAAUCAUAAUCAGUCAAUAAAUAAAUAAUAAUUAAAAUAUAAUUGCUAAUUCAACUACUUAAAUCUCCAAAUAUAUUAUGUAGUUACUAAAAAUAGAAUUUUUAAAAAUUAAUUAACCUAAACAUCCUAAGUUUAUACUUAUUUUUAAAAAUGAAGACCUCUCCCGACGAAAUUUCGUCGGCAAAGAUAUUUUCGUCGGGGGAAACCUAAUCCGGAAAAUUUUGUCGGCAUAGAACUUUGCCGACGAAAUUUCGUCGGGAGAAGUGUUCAUGUGUUUUUUUUUUUUUUUGAAAAGUAUAAAUUUUAAAAAUAUGGAUAUGUUUGAACUAGCAAAUUAAUACCUAUAAAGUACAAGCUAAUGCAACUUGGAGGGUCCUUCUUUCUUUUAUUUAUUUAUUAAAUACUAUAUUUACAUAGUAUAGCCGUGCGGCUGUACUAUAUUUUUCUUUUUGAAAAAUAGUCUAGCCGGGCGGCUAUACUUUUUUGGGACACGUGGCGCCUAAUCGCUGGAGGCUCCUUUUUUUUUUAAGACCAAAAAAUAGUACAGCCGCACGGCCAUACCCGGUGUUUUUAAAAAGUCGACACGUGGCGCCUUUUUAUAUUAAAAACAGUAUAGCCGCACGGCUAUACUCAGUUUUUGUUUUUUUUUUUUAAAUUUUUUUUAAAAUUUUUUAAAUUUUUUUUAUUUUAUGAAAAGGUAGGCUACACCCUUUAAGUAGCAUGGUAUGUAUUUCACUUUUUUAAUUACUUUGAUUAGUAAAGGAGAAAAAGAAGAAGAGAAAUUGAAUUACUAUUCAUUAAGUAAUAUAAUUCAUGAAGUUAAUUAAAAUAUUUAAUCAUAAUCAGUCAAUAAAUAAAUAAUAAUUAAAAUAUAAUUGCUAAUUCAACUACUUAAAUCUCCAAAUAUAUUAUGUAGUUACUAAAAAUAGAAUUUUUAAAAAUUAAUUAACCUAAACAUCCUAAGUUUAUACUUAUUUUUAAAAAUGAAGACCUCUCCCGACGAAAUUCCGUCGGCAAAGAUAUUUUCGUCGGGGGAAACCUAAUCCGGCAAAUUUUGUCGGCAUAGAACUUUGCCGACGAAAGUUCGUCGGGAGAAGUGUUCAUGUGUUUUUUUUUUUUUUUGAAAAGUAUAAAUUUUAAAAAUAUGGAUAUGUUUGAACUAGCAAAUUAAUACCUAUAAAGUACAAGCUAAUGCAACUUGGAGGGUCCUUCUUUCUUUUAUUUAUUUAUUAAAUACUAUAUUUACAUAGUAUAGCCGUGCGGCUGUACUAUAUUUUUCUUUUUGAAAAAUAGUCUAGCCGGGCGGCUAUACUUUUUUGGGACACGUGGCGCCUAAUCGCUGGAGGCUCCUUUUUUUUUUAAGACCAAAAAAUAGUACAGCCGCACGGCCAUACCCGGUGUUUUUAAAAAGUCGACACGUGGCGCCUUUUUAUAUUAAAAAUAGUAUAGCCGCACGGCUAUACUCAGUUUUUGUUUGUUUUUUUUAAAUUUUUUUUAAAAUUUUUUAAAAUUUUUUUAUUUUAUGAAAAGGUAGGCUACACCCUUUAAGUAGCAUGGUAUGUAUUUCACUUUUUUAAUUACUUUGAUUAGUAAAGGAGAAAAAGAAGAAGAGAAAUUGAAUUACUAUUCAUUAAGUAAUAUAAUUCAUGAAGUUAAUUAAAAUAUUUAAUCAUAAUCAGUCAAUAAAUAAAUAAUAAUUAAAAUAUAAUUGCUAAUUCAACUACUUAAAUCUCCAAAUAUAUUAUGUAGUUACUAAAAAUAGAAUUUUUAAAAAUUAAUUAACCUAAACAUCCUAAGUUUAUACUUAUUUUUAAAAAUGAAGACCUCUCCCGACGAAAUUUCGUCGGCAAAGAUAUUUUCGUCGGGGGAAACCUUAUCCGGCAAAUUUUGUCGGCAUAGAACUUUGCCGACGAAAUUUCGUCGGGAGAAGUGUUCAUGUGUUUUUUUUUUUUUUUGAAAAGUAUAAAUUUUAAAAAUAUGGAUAUGUUUGAACUAGCAAAUUAAUACCUAUAAAGUACAAGCUAAUGCAACUUGGAGGGUCCUUCUUUCUUUUAUUUAUUUAUUAAAUACUAUAUUUACAUAGUAUAGCCGUGCGGCUGUACUAUAUUUUUCUUUUUGAAAAAUAGUCUAGCCGGGCGGCUAUACUUUUUUGGGACACGAGGCGCCUAAUCGCUGGAGGCUCCUUUUUUUUUUAAGACCAAAAAAUAGUACAGCCGCACGGCCAUACCCGGUGUUUUUAAAAAGUCGACACGUGGCGCCUUUUUAUAUUAAAAAUAGUAUAGCCGCACGGCUAUACUCAGUUUUUGUUUGUUUUUUUUAAAUUUUUUUUAAAAUUUUUUAAAUUUUUUUUAUUUUAUGAAAAGGUAGGCUACACCCUUUAAGUAGCAUGGUAUGUAUUUCACUUUUUUAAUUACUUUGAUUAGUAAAGGAGAAAAAGAAGAAGAGAAAUUGAAUUACUAUUCAUUAAGUAAUAUAAUUCAUGAAGUUAAUUAAAAUAUUUAAUCAUAAUCAGUCAAUAAAUAAAUAAUAAUUAAAAUAUAAUUGCUAAUUCAACUACUUAAAUCUCCAAAUAUAUUAUGUAGUUACUAAAAAUAGAAUUUUUAAAAAUUAAUUAACCUAAACAUCCUAAGUUUAUACUUAUUUUUAAAAAUGAAGACCUCUCCCGACGAAAUUGCGUCGGCAAAGAUAUUUUCGUCGGGGGAAACCUAAUCCGGCAAAUUUUGUCGGCAUAGAACUUUGCCGACGAAAUUUCGUCGGGAGAAGUGUUCAUGUGUUUUUUUUUUUUUUUGAAAAGUAUAAAUUUUAAAAAUAUGGAUAUGUUUGAACUAGCAAAUUAAUACCUAUAAAGUACAAGCUAAUGCAACUUGGAGGGUCCUUCUUUCUUUUAUUUAUUUAUUAAAUACUAUAUUUACAUAGUAUAGCCGUGCGGCUGUACUAUAUUUUUCUUUUUGAAAAAUAGUCUAGCCGGGCGGCUAUACUUUUUUGGGACACGAGGCGCCUAAUCGCUGGAGGCUCCUUUUUUUUUUAAGACCAAAAAAUAGUACAGCCGCACGGCCAUACCCGGUGUUUUUAAAAAGUCGACACGUGGCGCCUUUUUAUAUUAAAAACAGUAUAGCCGCACGGCUAUACUCAGUUUUUGUUUGUUUUUUUUAAAUUUUUUUUAAAAUUUUUUAAAAUUUUUUUAUUUUAUGAAAAGGUGGGCUACACCCUUUAAGUAGCAUGGUAUGUAUUUCACUUUUUUAAUUACUUUGAUUAGUAAAGGAGAAAAAGAAGAAGAGAAAUUGAAUUACUAUUCAUUAAGUAAUAUAAUUCAUGAAGUUAAUUAAAAUAUUUAAUCAUAAUCAGUCAAUAAAUAAAUAAUAAUUAAAAUAUAAUUGCUAAUUCAACUACUUAAAUCUCCAAAUAUAUUAUGUAGUUACUAAAAAUAGAAUUUUUAAAAAUUAAUUAACCUAAACAUCCUAAGUUUAUACUUAUUUUUAAAAAUGAAGACCUCUCCCGACGAAAUUUCGUCGGCAAAGAUAUUUUCGUCGGGGGAAACCUAAUCCGGCAAAUUUUGUCGGCAUAGAACUUUGCCGACGAAAUUUCGUCGGGAGAAGUGUUCAUGUGUUUUUUUUUUUUUUUUGAAAAGUAUAAAUUUUAAAAAUAUGGAUAUGUUUGAACUAGCAAAUUAAUACCUAUAAAGUACAAGCUAAUGCAACUUGGAGGGUCCUUCUUUCUUUUAUUUAUUUAUUAAAUACUAUAUUUACAUAGUAUAGCCGUGCGGCUGUACUAUAUUUUUCUUUUUGAAAAAUAGUCUAGCCGGGCGGCUAUACUUUUUUGGGACACGAGGCGCCUAAUCGCUGGAGGCUCCUUUUUUUUUUAAGACCAAAAAAUAGUACAGCCGCACGGCCAUACCCGGUGUUUUUAAAAAGUCGACACGUGGCGCCUUUUUAUAUUAAAAAUAGUAUAGCCGCACGGCUAUACUCAGUUUUUGUUUUUUUUUUAAAUUUUUUUUAAAAUUUUUUUAAAUUUUUUUAUUUUAUGAAAAGGUAGGCUACACCCUUUAAGUAGCGUGGUAUGUAUUUCACUUUUUUAAUUACUUUGAUUAGUAAAGGAGAAAAAGAAGAAGAGAAAUUGAAUUACUAUUCAUUAAGUAAUAUAAUUCAUGAAGUUAAUUAAAAUAUUUAAUCAUAAUCAGUCAAUAAAUAAAUAAUAAUUAAAAUAUAAUUGCUAAUUCAACUACUUAAAUCUCCAAAUAUAUUAUGUAGUUACUAAAAAUAGAAUUUUUAAAAAUUAAUUAACCUAAACAUCCUAAGUUUAUACUUAUUUUUAAAAAUGAAGACCUCUCCCGACGAAAUUGCGUCGGCAAAGAUAUUUUCGUCGGGGGAAACCUAAUCCGGCAAAUUUUGUCGGCAUAGAACUUUGCCGACGAAAUUUCGUCGGGAGAAGUGUUCAUGUGUUUUUUUUUUUUUUUGAAAAGUAUAAAUUUUAAAAAUAUGGAUAUGUUUGAACUAGCAAAUUAAUACCUAUAAAGUACAAGCUAAUGCAACUUGGAGGGUCCUUCUUUCUUUUAUUUAUUUAUUAAAUACUAUAUUUACAUAGUAUAGCCGUGCGGCUGUACUAUAUUUUUCUUUUUGAAAAAUAGUCUAGCCGGGCGGCUAUACUUUUUUGGGACACGAGGCGCCUAAUCGCUGGAGGCUCCUUUUUUUUUUAAGACCAAAAAAUAGUACAGCCGCACGGCCAUACCCGGUGUUUUUAAAAAGUCGACACGUGGCGCCUUUUUAUAUUAAAAACAGUAUAGCCGCACGGCUAUACUCAGUUUUUGUUUGUUUUUUUUAAAUUUUUUUUAAAAUUUUUUAAAAUUUUUUUAUUUUAUGAAAAGGUGGGCUACACCCUUUAAGUAGCAUGGUAUGUAUUUCACUUUUUUAAUUACUUUGAUUAGUAAAGGAGAAAAAGAAGAAGAGAAAUUGAAUUACUAUUCAUUAAGUAAUAUAAUUCAUGAAGUUAAUUAAAAUAUUUAAUCAUAAUCAGUCAAUAAAUAAAUAAUAAUUAAAAUAUAAUUGCUAAUUCAACUACUUAAAUCUCCAAAUAUAUUAUGUAGUUACUAAAAAUAGAAUUUUUAAAAAUUAAUUAACCUAAACAUCCUAAGUUUAUACUUAUUUUUAAAAAUGAAGACCUCUCCCGACGAAAUUUCGUCGGCAAAGAUAUUUUCGUCGGGGGAAACCUAAUCCGGCAAAUUUUGUCGGCAUAGAACUUUGCCGACGAAAUUUCGUCGGGAGAAGUGUUCAUGUGUUUUUUUUUUUUUUUGAAAAGUAUAAAUUUUAAAAAUAUGGAUAUGUUUGAACUAGCAAAUUAAUACCUAUAAAGUACAAGCUAAUGCAACUUGGAGGGUCCUUCUUUCUUUUAUUUAUUUAUUAAAUACUAUAUUUACAUAGUAUAGCCGUGCGGCUGUACUAUAUUUUUCUUUUUGAAAAAUAGUCUAGCCGGGCGGCUAUACUUUUUUGGGACACGUGGCGCCUAAUCGCUGGAGGCUCCUUUUUUUUUUAAGACCAAAAAAUAGUACAGCCGCACGGCUAUACCCGGUGUUUUUAAAAAGUCCACACGUGGCGCCUUUUUAUAUUAAAAAUAGUAUAGCCGCACGGCGAUACUCAGUUCUUGUUUUUUUUUUAAAAUUUUUUGAAAUUUUUUUAUUUUAUGAAAAGGUAGGCUGUAGGCUACACCCUUUAAGUAGCAUGGUAUGUAUUUCACUUUUUUAAUUACUUUGAUUAGUAAAGGAGAAAAAGAAGAAGAGAAAUUGAAUUACUAUUCAUUAAGUAAUAUAAUUCAUGAAGUUAAUUAAAAUAUUUAAUCAUAAUCAGUCAAUAAAUAAAUAAUAAUUAAAAUAUAAUUGCUAAUUCAACUACUUAAAUCUCCAAAUAUAUUAUGUAGUUACUAAAAAUAGAAUUUUUAAAAAUUAAUUAACCUAAACAUCCUAAGUUUAUACUUAUUUUUAAAAAUGAAGACCUCUCCCGACGAAAUUUCGUCGGCAAAGAUAUUUUCGUCGGGGGAAACCUAAUCCGGCAAAUUUUGUCGGCAUAGAACUUUGCCGACGAAAUUUCGUCGGGAGAAGUGUUCAUGUGUUUUUUUUUUUUUUUUGAAAAGUAUAAAUUUUAAAAAUAUGGAUAUGUUUGAACUAGCAAAUUAAUACCUAUAAAGUACAAGCUAAUGCAACUUGGAGGGUCCUUCUUUCUUUUAUUUAUUUAUUAAAUACUAUAUUUACAUAGUAUAGCCGUGCGGCUGUACUAUAUUUUUCUUUUUGAAAAAUAGUCUAGCCGGGCGGCUAUACUUUUUUGGGACACGUGGCGCCUAAUCGCUGGAGGCUCCUUUUUUUUUUAAGACCAAAAAAUAGUACAGCCGCACGGCCAUACCCGGUGUUUUUUAAAAAGUCGACACGUGGCGCCUUUUUAUAUUAAAAAUAGUAUAGCCGCACGGCUAUACUCAGUUUUUGUUUUUUUUUUUUAAAUUUUUUUUAAAAUUUUUUAAAAUUUUUUUAUUUUAUGAAAAGGUAGGCUACACCCUUUAAGUAGCAUGGUAUGUAUUUCACUUUUUUAAUUACUUUGAUUAGUAAAGGAGAAAAAGAAGAAGAGAAAUUGAAUUACUAUUCAUUAAGUAAUAUAAUUCAUGAAGCUAAUUAAAAUAUUUAAUCAUAAUCAGUCAAUAAAUAAAUAAUAAUUAAAAUAUAAUUGCUAAUUCAACUACUUAAAUCUCCAAAUAUAUUAUGUAGUUACUAAAAAUAGAAUUUUUAAAAAUUAAUUAACCUAAACAUCCUAAGUUUAUACUUAUUUUUAAAAAUGAAGACCUCUCCCGACGAAAUUUCGUCGGCAAAGAUAUUUUCGUCGGGGGAAACCUAAUCCGGCAAAUUUUGUCGGCAUAGAACUGUGCCGACGAAAUUUCGUCGGGAGAAGUGUUCUUGUGUUUUUUUUUUUUUUGAAAAGUAUAAAUUUUAAAAAUAUGGAUAUGUUUGAACUAGCAAAUUAAUACCUAUAAAGUACAAGCUAAUGCAACUUGGAGGGUCCUUCUUUCUUUUAUUUAUUUAUUAAAUACUAUAUUUACAUAGUAUAGCCGUGCGGCUGUACUAUAUUUUUCUUUUUGAAAAAUAGUCUAGCCGGGCGGCUAUACUUUUUUGGGACACGAGGCGCCUAAUCGCUGGAGGCUCCUUUUUUUUUUAAGACCAAAAAAUAGUACAGCCGCACGGCCAUACCCGGUGUUUUUAAAAAGUCGACACGUGGCGCCUUUUUAUAUUAAAAAUAGUAUAGCCGCACGGCUAUUCUCAGUUUUUGUUUUUUUUUUUAAAUUUUUUUUUUAAAUUUUUUUAAAUUUUUUUAUUUUAUGAAAAGGUAGGCUACACCCUUUAAGUAGCAUGGUAUGUAUUUCACUUUUUUAAUUACUUUGAUUAGUAAAGGAGAAAAAGAAGAAGAGAAAUUGAAUUACUAUUCAUUAAGUAAUAUAAUUCAUGAAGUUAAUUAAAAUAUUUAAUCAUAAUCAGUCAAUAAAUAAAUAAUAAUUAAAAUAUAAUUGCUAAUUCAACUACUUAAAUCUCCAAAUAUAUUAUGUAGUUACUAAAAAUAGAAUUUUUAAAAAUUAAUUAACCUAAACAUCCUAAGUUUAUACUUAUUUUUAAAAAUGAAGACCUCUCCCGACGAAAUUUCGUCGGCAAAGAUAUUUUCGUCGGGGGAAACCUAAUCCGGCAAAUUUUGUCGGCAUAGAACUUUGCCGACGAAAUUUCGUCGGGAGAAGUGUUCAUGUGUUUUUUUUUUUUUUUGAAAAGUAUAAAUUUUAAAAAUAUGGAUAUGUUUGAACUAGCAAAUUAAUACCUAUAAAGUACAAGCUAACGCAACUUGGAGGCUCCUUCUUUCUUUUAUUUAUUUAUUAAAUACUAUAUUUACAUAGUAUAGCCGUGCGGCUGUACUAUAUUUUUCUUUUUGAAAAAUAGUCUAGCCGGGCGGCUAUACUUUUUUGGGACACGUGGCGCCUAAUCGCUGGAGGCUCCUUUUUUUUUUAAGACCAAAAAAUAGUACAGCCGCACGGCUAUACCCGGUGUUUUUAAAAAGUCCACACGUGGCGCCUUUUUAUAUUAAAAAUAGUAUAGCCGCACGGCGAUACUCAGUUUUUGUUUUUUUUUUAAAUUUUUUUUAAAAUUUUUUUAAAUUUUUUUAUUUUAUGAAAAGGUAGGCUACACCCUUUAAGUAGCGUGGUAUGUAUUUCACUUUUUUAAUUACUUUGAUUAGUAAAGGAGAAAAAGAAGAAGAGAAAUUGAAUUACUAUUCAUUAAGUAAUAUAAUUCAUGAAGUUAAUUAAAAUAUUUAAUCAUAAUCAGUCAAUAAAUAAAUAAUAAUUAAAAUAUAAUUGCUAAUUCAACUACUUAAAUCUCCAAAUAUAUUAUGUAGUUACUAAAAAUAGAAUUUUUAAAAAUUAAUUAACCUAAACAUCCUAAGUUUAUACUUAUUUUUAAAAAUGAAGACCUCUCCCGACGAAAUUUCGUCGGCAAAGAUAUUUUCGUCGGGGGAAACCUAAUCCGGCAAAUUUUGUCGGCAUAGAACUUUGCCGACGAAAUUUCGUCGGGAGAAGUGUUCAUGUGUUUUUUUUUUUUUUUGAAAAGUAUAAAUUUUAAAAAUAUGGAUAUGUUUGAACUAGCAAAUUGAUACCUAUAAAGUACAAGCUAAUGCAACUUGGAGGGUCCAUCUUUCUUUUAUUUAUUUAUUAAAUACUAUAUUUACAUAGUAUAGCCGUGCGGCUGUACUAUAUUUUUCUUUUUGAAAAAUAGUCUAGCCGGGCGGCUAUACUUUUUUGGGACACGAGGCGCCUAAUCGCUGGAGGCUCCUUUUUUUUUUAAGACCAAAAAAUAGUACAGCCGCACGGCCAUACCCGGUGUUUUUAAAAAGUCGACACGUGGCGCCUUUUUAUAUUAAAAACAGUAUAGCCGCACGGCUAUACUCAGUUUUUGUUUGUUUUUUUUAAAUUUUUUUUAAAAUUUUUUAAAAUUUUUUUAUUUUAUGAAAAGGUGGGCUACACCCUUUAAGUAGCAUGGUAUGUAUUUCACUUUUUUAAUUACUUUGAUUAGUAAAGGAGAAAAAGAAGAAGAGAAAUUGAAUUACUAUUCAUUAAGUAAUAUAAUUCAUGAAGUUAAUUAAAAUAUUUAAUCAUAAUCAGUCAAUAAAUAAAUAAUAAUUAAAAUAUAAUUGCUAAUUCAACUACUUAAAUCUCCAAAUAUAUUAUGUAGUUACUAAAAAUAGAAUUUUUAAAAAUUAAUUAACCUAAACAUCCUAAGUUUAUACUUAUUUUUAAAAAUGAAGACCUCUCCCGACGAAAUUGCGUCGGCAAAGAUAUUUUCGUCGGGGGAAACCUAAUCCGGCAAAUUUUGUCGGCAUAGAACUUUGCCGACGAAAUUUCGUCGGGAGAAGUGUUCAUGUGUUUUUUUGUUUUUUUUGAAAAGUAUAAAUUUUAAAAAUAUGGAUAUGUUUGAACUAGCAAAUUAAUACCUAUAAAGUACAAGCUAAUGCAACUUGGAGGGUCCUUCUUUCUUUUAUUUAUUUAUUAAAUACUAUAUUUACAUAGUAUAGCCGUGCGGCUGUACUAUAUUUUUCUUUUUGAAAAAUAGUCUAGCCGGGCGGCUAUACUUUUUUGGGACACGUGGCGCCUAAUCGCUGGAGGCUCCUUUUUUUUUUAAGACCAAAAAAUAGUACAGCCGCACGGCCAUACCCGGUGUUUUUAAAAAGUCGACACGUGGCGCCUUUUUAUAUUAAAAAUAGUAUAGCCGCACGGCUAUACUCAGUUUUUGUUUUUUUUUUAAAUUUUUUUUAAAAUUUUUUUAAAUUUUUUUAUUUUAUGAAAAGGUAGGCUACACCCUUUAAGUAGCGUGGUAUGUAUUUCACUUUUUUAAUUACUUUGAUUAGUAAAGGAGAAAAAGAAGAAGAGAAAUUGAAUUACUAUUCAUUAAGUAAUAUAAUUCAUGAAGUUAAUUAAAAUAUUUAAUCAUAAUCAGUCAAUAAAUAAAUAAUAAUUAAAAUAUAAUUGCUAAUUCAACUACUUAAAUCUCCAAAUAUAUUCUCCAAUAUUAUUAUGGUAGUUACUAAAAAUAGAAUUUUUUAAAAAUUAAUUAACCUAAAACAUCCUAAGGUUUAUACUUAAUUUUUAAAAAUGAAGACCUNNNNNNNNNNNNNNNNNNNNNNNNNNNNNNNNNNNNNNNNNNNNNNNNNNNNNNNNNNNNNNNNNNNNNNNNNNNNNNNNNNNNNNNNNNNNNNNNNNNNACCUAAUCCGGCAAUUUUGUCGGCAUAGAACUUUGCCGACGAAAUUUCGUCGGGAGAAGUGUUCUUGUGUUUUUUUUUUUUUUGAAAAGUAUAAAUUUUAAAAAUAUGGAUAUGUUUGAACUAGCAAAUUAAUACCUAUAAAGUACAAGCUAAUGCAACUUGGAGGGUCCUUCUUUCUUUUAUUUAUUUAUUAAAUACUAUAUUUACAUAGUAUAGCCGUGCGGCUGUACUAUAUUUUUCUUUUUGAAAAAUAGUCUAGCCGGGCGGCUAUACUUUUUUGGGACACGAGGCGCCUAAUCGCUGGAGGCUCCUUUUUUUUUUAAGACCAAAAAAUAGUACAGCCGCACGGCCAUACCCGGUGUUUUUAAAAAGUCGACACGUGGCGCCUUUUUAUAUUAAAAAUAGUAUAGCCGCACGGCUAUACUCAGUUUUUGUUUGUUUUUUUUAAAUUUUUUUUAAAAUUUUUUAAAUUUUUUUUAUUUUAUGAAAAGGUAGGCUACACCCUUUAAGUAGCAUGGUAUGUAUUUCACUUUUUUAAUUACUUUGAUUAGUAAAGGAGAAAAAGAAGAAGAGAAAUUGAAUUACUAUUCAUUAAGUAAUAUAAUUCAUGAAGUUAAUUAAAAUAUUUAAUCAUAAUCAGUCAAUAAAUAAAUAAUAAUUAAAAUAUAAUUGCUAAUUCAACUACUUAAAUCUCCAAAUAUAUUAUGUAGUUACUAAAAAUAGAAUUUUUAAAAAUUAAUUAACCUAAACAUCCUAAGUUUAUACUUAUUUUUAAAAAUGAAGACUCUCCGACGAAGUUUCGUCGCAAGAUAUUUUCGUCGGGGGAAANNNNNNNNNNNNNNNNNNNNNNNNNNNNNNNNNNNNNNNNNNNNNNNNNNNNNNNNNNNNNNNNNNNNNNNNNNNNNNNNNNNNNNNNNNNNNNNNNNNNCUUUGCCGACGAAAUUUCGUCGGGAGAAGUGUUCAUGUGUUUUUUUUUUUUUUGAAAAGUAUAAAUUUUAAAAAUAUGGAUAUGUUUGAACUAGCAAAUUAAUACCUAUAAAGUACAAGCUAACGCAACUUGGAGGCUCCUUGUUUCUUUUAUUUAUUUAUUAAAUACUAUAUUUACAUAGUCUAGCCGUGCGGCUGUACUAUAUUUUUCUUUUUGAAAAAUAGUCUAGCCGGGCGGCUAUACUUUUUUGGGACACGUGGCGCCUAAUCGCUGGAGGCACCUUUUUUUUUAAGACCAAAAAAUAGUACAGCCGCACGGCCAUACCCGGUGUUUUUAAAAAGUCGACACGUGGCGCCUUUUUAUAUGAAAAUAGUAUAGCCGCACGGCUAUACUCAGUUUUUGUUUGUUUUUUUAAAAUUUUUUUAAAAUUUUUUAAAAUUUUUUUAUUUUAUGAAAAGGUAGGCUACACCCUUUAAGUAGCAUGGUAUGUAUUUCACUUUUUUAAUUACUUUGAUUAGUAAAGGAGAAAAAGAAGAAGAGAAAUUGAAUUACUAUUCAUUAAGUAAUAUAAUUCAUGAAGUUAAUUAAAAUAUUUAAUCAUAAUCAGUCAAUAAAUAAAUAAUAAUUAAAAUAUAAUUGCUAAUUCAACUACUUAAAUCUCCAAAUAUAUUAUGUAGUUACUAAAAAUAGAAUUUUUAAAAAUUAAUUAACCUAAACAUCCUAAGUUUAUACUUAUUUUUAAAAAUGAAGACCUCUCCCGACGAAAUUUCGUCGACAAAGAUAUUUUCGUCGGGGGAAACCUAAUCCGGCAAAUUUUGUCGGCAUAGAACUUUGCCGACGAAAUUUCGUCGGGAGAAGUGUUCAUGUGUUCUUUUUUUUUUUUUGAAAAGUAUAAAUUUUAAAAAUAUGGAUAUGUUUGAACUAGCAAAUUAAUACCUAUAAAGUACAAGCUAAUGCAACUUGGAGGGUCCUUCUUUCUUUUAUUUAUUUAUUAAAUACUAUAUUUACAUAUUAUAGCCGUGCGGGUGUACUAUAUUUUUCUUUUUGAAAAAUAGUCUAGCCGGGCGGCUAUACUUUUUUGGGACACGUGGCGCCUAAUCGCUGGAGGCUCCUUUUUUUUUAAGACCAAAAAAUAGUACAGCCGCACGGCUAUACCCGGUGUUUUUAAAAAGUCGACACGUGGCGCCUUUUUAUAUUAAAAAUAGCAUAGCCGCACGGCUAUACUCAGUUUUUGUUUUUUUUUUAAUUUUUUUAAAAUUUUUUUAUUUUAUGAAAAGGUAGGCUACACCCUUUAAGUAGCAUGGUAUGUAUUUCACUUUUUUAAUUACUUUGAUUAGUAAAGGAGAAAAAGAAGAAGAGAAAUUGAAUUACUAUUCAUUAAGUAAUAUAAUUCAUGAAGUUAAUUAAAAUAUUUAAUCAUAAUCAGUCAAUAAAUAAAUAAUAAUUAAAAUAUAAUUGCUAAUUCAACUACUUAAAUCUCCAAAUAUAUUAUGUAGUUACUAAAAAUAGAAUUUUUAAAAAUUAAUUAACCUAAACAUCCUAAGUUUAUACUUACUUUUAAAAAUGAAGACCUCUCCCGACGAAAUUUCGUCGGCAAAGAUAUUUUCGUCGGGGGAAACCUAAUCCGGCAAAUUUUGUCGGCAUAGAACUUUGCCGACGAAAUUUCGUCGGGAGAAGUGUUCAUGUGUUUUUUUUUUUUUUUUGAAAAGUAUAAAUUUUAAAAAUAUGGAUAUGUUUGAACUAGCAAAUUAAUACCUAUAAAGUACAAGCUAACGCAACUUGGAGGCUCCUUCUUUCUUUUAUUUAUUUAUUAAAUACUAUAUUUACAUAGUAUAGCCGUGCGGCUGUACUAUAUUUUUCUUUUUGAAAAAUAGUCUAGCCGGGCGGCUAUACUUUUUUGGGACACGUGGCGCCUAAUCGCUGGAGGCUCCUUUUUUUUUUAAGACCAAAAAAUAGUACAGCCGCACGGCUAUACCCGGUGUUUUUAAAAAGUCCACACGUGGCGCCUUUUUAUAUUAAAAAUAGUAUAGCCGCACGGCGAUACUCAGUUCUUGUUUUUUUUUUAAAAUUUUUUGAAAUUUUUUUAUUUUAUGAAAAGGUAGGCUACACCCUUUAAGUAGCAUGGUAUGUAUUUCACUUUUUUAAUUACUUUGAUUAGUAAAGGAGAAAAAGAAGAAGAGAAAUUGAAUUACUAUUCAUUAAGUAAUAUAAUUCAUGAAGUUAAUUAAAAUAUUUAAUCAUAAUCAGUCAAUAAAUAAAUAAUAAUUAAAAUAUAAUUGCUAAUUCAACUACUUAAAUCUCCAAAUAUAUUAUGUAGUUACUAAAAAUAGAAUUUUUAAAAAUUAAUUAACCUAAACAUCCUAAGUUUAUACUUAUUUUUAAAAAUGAAGACCUCUCCCGACGAAAUUUCGUCGGCAAAGAUAUUUUCGUCGGGAGAAACCUAAUCCGGCAAAUUUUGGUCGGCAUAGAUCUUUGCCGACGAAAUUUCGUCGGAAGAAGUGUUCAUGUGUUUUUUUUUUUUUUUUGAAAAGUAUAAAUUUUAAAAAUAUGGAUGUGUUUGAACUAGCAAAUUAAUACCUAUAAAGUACAAGCUAAUGCAACUUGGAGGGUCCUUCUUUCUUUAUUUAUUUAUUAAAUACUAUAUUUACAUAGUAUAGCCGUGCGGCUGUACUAUAUUUUUCUUUUUGAACAAUCGUCUAGCCGGGCGGCUAUACUUUUUUGGGACACGUGGCGCCUAAUCGCUGGAGGCUCCUUUUUUUUUAAGACCCAAAAAUAGUACAGCCGCACGGCUAUACCCGGUGUUUUUAAAAAGUCGACACGUGGCGCAUUUUUAUAUAAAAAUAGUAUAGCCGCACGGCUAUACCCGGUGUUUUUUAAAAAGUCGACACGUGGCGCCUUUUUAUAUUAAAAAUAGUAUAGCCGCACGGCUAUACUAAGUUUUUGUUUUUUUUUUUGUUUUUGUUUUUUUUUUAAUGAAAAGGUAGGCUACACCCUUUAAGUAGCAUGGUAUGUAUUUCACUUUUUUAAUUACUUUGAUUAGUAAAUGAGAAAAAGAAGAAGAGAAAUUGAAUUACUAUUCAUUAAGUAAUAUAAUUCAUGAAGUUAAUUAAAAUAUUUAAUCAUAAUCAGUCAAUAAAUAAAUAAUAAUUAAAAUAUAAUUGCUAAUUCAACUAAUUAAAUCUCCAAAUAUAUUAUGUAGUUACUAAAAAUAAAAUUUUUAAAAAUUAAUUAACCUAAACAUCCUAAGUUUAUACUUAUUUUUAAAAAUGAAGACCUCUCCCGACGAAAGUUCGUCGGCAAAGAUAUUUUCGUCGGGGGAAACCUAAUCCGGCAAAUUUUGUCGGCAUAGAUCUUUGCCGACGAAAUUUCGUCGGGAGAAGUGCUCAUGUGUUUUUUUUUGUUUUGAAAAGUAUAAAUUUUAAAAAUAUGGAUAUGUUUCAACUAGCAAAUUAAUACCUAUAAAGUACAAGCUAAUGCAACUUGGAGGGUCCUUCUUUCUUUUAUUUAUUUAUUAAAUACUAUAUUUACAUAGUAUAGCCGUGCGGCUGUACUAUAUUUUUCUUUUUGAAAAAUAAUCUAGCCGGGCGGCUAUACUUUUUUGGGACACGUGGCGCCAAAUCGCUGGAGGCUCCUUUUUUUUAAGACCAAAAAAUAGUACAGCCGCACGGCUAUACCCGGUGUUUUUAAAAAGUCGACACGUGGCGCCUUUUUAUAUUAAAAAUAGUAUAGCCGCACGGCUAUACGUAGUUUUUGUUUUGUUUUUUUUUAAUUUUUUUUAAUUUUUUUUAAUUUUAUGAAAAGGUAGGCUACACCCUUUAAGUAGUAUAGCCGCAUGGCUCCAAACUGUUGGGGGAAUUUUUUUAUAUUAAAAAUAGUAUAGCCGCCCGGCUGUACGCAGUUUUGAAAUUUUUAAAAGAAAUACAUGUUUUGACACGUGGCUCUAAAUGGUUUGGGGACCUUUUUUAUAUUAAAAAUAGUAUAGGCGCACGGCUAUACUCAGUUUUGAAAUUUUUUAAGAAAGACAUGUGUUGACACGUGGCUCCAAAUGGUUGGGGGACUGUUUUUAUAUUAAAAGUAGUAUAGCCGCACGGCUAUACUCAGUUUUGAAAUUUUUUUAGAAAGAAUUGUUUUGGCGCGUGGCUCCAAAUGGUUGGGGGCACAGUUUUGAAAUUUUUUUAAGAAAGACAUGUGUUGACACAUGGCUCCAAACUGUUGGGGGAAUUUUUUUAUAUUAAAAAUAGUAUAGCCGCCCGGCUGUACUCAGUUUUGAAAUUUUUAAAAGAAAUACAUGUUUUGACACGUGGCUCUAAAUGGUUUGGGGACCUUUUUUAUAUUAAAAAUAGUGUAGCCGCCCGGCUAUACUCAGUUUUGAAAUUUUUUAAAAAAAUACAUGUUUGACACGUGGCUCCAAAUGGUUGGGGGACUUUUUUGAGUUAAAAAUAGUAUAGCCGCCCGGCUGUACUCAGUUUUUUUAAUUAAAAAAUAUAUAGUAUAGGCAAGAGGCGUUAAUGGUUUUUCUUUAUUUUAAAAAUUGAAUUUAAUAAAUAGUAUAGACUAGCGGCUAUAGUCUUUUAGAUAUGUAUUUACAUAUAAAUAUAUACAUAUAUACACGUAUUUUUCAACAAUAUAUUCGUGUUAUAUACACGUCUCACAUUUUCUUUAAAAAGCAAACAUACAAUAGUCGUAUUUCUAAUAUUUUAUGCAUAUUUUUUACAAAAUUUUCAACAACACACAAAAAUUCAAAUUAGUUAAUUAUUUAAAUUAAAAUUUUCACGUACUUUUUACAAAAUUUUAAGUAACACACACAAAUUCACAUAUUAUACAAAUAAUUCUCAUAUAUUAUUGAAUAAGAAUAACA
rnacentral:lncRNA from 1 species